rnacentral:rRNA from 1 species
UAGGGAAUAUUGGUCAAUGGGCGGAAGCCUGAACCAGCCAUGCCGCGUGCAGGAAGACGGCCUUCUGGGUUGUAAACUGCUUUUAUCAGGGAACAAAUAGGCCAUGCGUGGCAAGUUGAGUGUACCUGAAGAAUAAGCACCGGCUAACUCCGUGCCAGCAGCCGCGGUAAUACGGAGGGUGCCAGCGUUGUCCGGAUUUAUUGGGUUUAAAGGGUGCGUAGGCGGUUAUUUAAGUCAGUGGUGAAAUCCUACAGCUCAACUGUAGCACUGCCAUUGAAACUGGGUAACUUGAGUACAGACGAGGUAGGCGGAAUUUAUGGUGUAGCGGUGAAAUGCAUAGAUACCAUAAAGAACACCGAUAGCGCAGGCAGCUUACUAGACUGUAACUGACGCUGAUGCACGAAAGCGUGGGGAGCGAACAGGAUUAGAUACCCUGGUAGUCCACGCCGUAAACGAUGAUUACUCGAUGUAUGCGAUAUACAGUAUGCGUCCAAGCGAAAGCGUUAAGUAAUCCACCUGGGAG